ACUCUAAUAGCUUAUAGUUAGAGCAUGAUAUUGAAGAUAUCAAGGGGAUUUUUUAUCUUAGAGUA
rnacentral:tRNA from 1 species